GUUAGCAGAACAUAUACUAAAAUCGGAAGGAUACAGAGAAGAUUAGUAUAGCCCGUCGACUUGAUUUAUACAGAAACCUAAAUUAUUUAU
rnacentral:snRNA from 1 species